rnacentral:rRNA from 1 species
GAAUGCUGACAUAAGUAACGAUAAAGCGGGUGAAAAGCCCGCUCGCCGGAAGACCAAGGGUUCCUGUCCAACGUUAAUCGGGGCAGGGUGAGUCGACCCCUAAGGCGAGGCCGAAAGGCGUAGUCGAUGGGAAACAGGUUAAUAUUCCUGUACUUGGUGUUACUGCGAAGGGGGGACGGAGAAGGCUAUGUUGGCCGGGCGACGGUUGUCCCGGUUUAAGCGUGUAGGCUGGUUUUCCAGGCAAAUCCGGAAAAUCAAGGCUGAGGCGUGAUGACGAGGCACUACGGUGCUGAAGCGACAAAUGCCCUGCUUCCAGGAAAAGCCUCUAAGCAUCAGGUAACAUCAAAUCGUACCCCAAACCGACACAGGUGGUC